GACAGAGGAUGCAAGCGUUAUCCGGAAUGAUUGGGCGUAAAGCGUCUGUAGGUGGCUUUUUAAGUCCGCCGUCAAAUCCCAGGGCUCAACCCUGGACAGGCGGUGGAAACUACCAAGCUGGAGUACGGUAGGGGCAGAGGGAAUUUCCGGUGGAGCGGUGAAAUGCGUAGAGAUUGGAAAGAACACCAAUGGCGAAAGCACUUUACUGGGCUAUCACUGACACUGAGAGACGAAAGCUAGGGGAGCGAAUGGG
rnacentral:rRNA from 1 species